ACGAGAGCUCCUCUACAUGGAAAUCGCUGAAAAGAAAAUGAAACUUAAUGACUCUUCAAAAGAUUCAUGAGCUGUAUUUAUCACAGUUUUGGUCUAGAUUAGUAUCAAAAAGUAGACGAAAUUCUCAAAAUGUACAUUAGCUCUCAAAGUAUUUACUAAUUAUAUUUUCUAUGAGUUUUAUCGGC
rnacentral:sRNA from 1 species